UACAGAGGUCUCGAGCGUUAGGCGGAAUCACUGGGCUUAAAGCGUGUGUAGGCGGAUCGUUAAGUACCUUGUGAAAUCCCACAGCUCAACCGUGGAACUGCUUGGCAUACUGGCGGUCUUGAGCAACCUAGGGGCGAGCGGAACAAAUGGUGGAGCGGUGAAAUGCGUAGAUAUCAUUUGGAACGCCAAUGGUGAAAACAGCUCGCUGGGGGUUUGCUGACGCUGAGACACGAAAGCCAGGGGAGCAAACGGG
rnacentral:rRNA from 1 species